AUGACAUAAACUCGAUAGCAACCCUCUUCGUCUUCAACAUUUUUCAUCUUUGAUAUCUAGAGUUCAUAGUGUUCUUCAUUCUCUGCUUUGAUAAACUGUCCAUGGAGUUUUUGGAUGGUGAUGAGAGACGACUAUUUACGGAGAAUCUCAUGAGCAGUUUGUCAUUGGUGUUUUAACACCGGGUUGUUAUAGACCAUCGUCGAAGUAUGUCUGCUCAGAUUCUGGGAAGCCAAGAAUGUGCGAAGAGGCUCGCCCAGAUGCUUCUUCUUGACUCGAAGAUUACACCUCCUCUGCAAUUCGGCUUCAUAACAUCUCAGCCAAGAAGAACGAUUGGUUUGCACUAGGACGCAUUCAAUACCCCCUCCUCCAUGGUUACCGAAGAAAUCUUCUCCUAUAAAUAAGGAUGUAUUUUCAAUUGAACUCAUCAUUAUGAUGAUAAAGUUUUGGGUUUCAUCCAAGGAUAUUAAUGUGUCUUUGAUAUUGAGGUACACCAGAGCAUCCACUAGGACUUUCACACUCAAGAAAGAUGAAGAAGUCAUAUGCGUAAGUAGACAUUCUAAAGACAGGAGUCUAAACUUGGAUUUUAUGUUCUCCUCUGGUUUCUACUGCUUCUAUAUAGUCUUACAACACUGUUCUCUUGCCGCAUUCGCUACUUGAAAAAUCUCUCCAUUUGCCUAAAUUUUGCGAGCUCAGUGUUGCGGUUGUGGUGUGUUGAGGUUUUGAGCUAGAGAUGUCGCUCAAAUGUCUCCAUUUUUCUUUCGUAUCUCGAAGUCAGCAUGGCUCUUUUUGCAGGUCAACCUAACGAAUCUGGAACAUACUAAUGAGAACUACAGUCAUGAAGGAACAUAAGGAAUUGGUGAUAAGGAAUCUGGCGAGACCGCGAGCAGCACGAAGAAAGGAGCAAAAUGCGGUGGCGACGGAAUCAAAACAGAUACAUGUGGGUUAAAACAUCACAAUGAUCCUUAGUUUGUCACGGAAUCUCAUCAUCAGAUGUGUUCACUUCUGGGAAGCUAUGGACAUACAUGGCUUCUCAAGUUUUUGCAGCGAAACUUACUAAGUCCCUAGCCAAAUAAAUAACAGGUAAAAGAAAGUGGAAACAGUCGAGACACUCAAGGCAUGGAGCAACAGAGAAGAGAUAGACUUCGCCGUUGAAGUCGAGAUUCUUUCCCGGCACAAGAACGUUCUGAGUGUUCGUGGCUACUGUCGUGCAACAAGUUUGAAUUUGCAAAAGAAAAGUCAACGUUAGUGGGUUUUAUCUUUCUGCUAUAUAGAUCAUUGGUUGGUUUUGUUAGCAAUCGUUAGUGGAUUUGUGCAUAAUUGUUACUUUUCUGAAGAAAAUAAUUCUGUAAAUUGAAAAUUAUAAAUGUUGAAAAUUUUAUUUGUUACUUUUUGUAGACAAU